rnacentral:rRNA from 1 species
CGCUUCAUGAUAAAAUAUGAGGUAUUGUCUGCCCUAUGAUUUUUAUUAAAUGGCCGCGGUAUACUGACCGUGCAAAGGUAGCAUAAUCAUUAGUCUUUUAAUUGGAGGCUGGAAUGAAAGGCGGGACGAAAUAAACACUGUCUUAUUUUGAUAUAAUUGAACUUAAUUAUUAAGUAAGAAAGCUUAAAUAAUUUUAUGGGACGAUAAGACCCUAUAGAGUUUUAUAACUCUUAGAGUUUAAUUGGUUAGGUUAUUAUUUUAACUUUAAGAUUUAUUCUGUUGGGGUGAUGGAAAGAUAUAAUUAACUCUUUUUUAAUAGGAACACAUAUUUGUGGUUAAUUGACCCAUUAAUUAUGAUUAAAAGACUAAAUUACC